CACUUGCUAAAACGAAUAGAAAAAAGUGAGGACCACCAUCAGUCCUAACAUUGAGAAUUCAUAUUUUAGUUGGAAAGAAAUGCACACAGUUUGGAAUCCUAUGUAGUCAAGAUAAGAGAACAAUUUUCUGAAUGCUUUCCAUGGGCCAGCGUGGAAACUUAACUCUCUCACGUAGACAGCAAGAUUACACUCUGACACCAAGCCCUGCCCUUGUGGGAAGUAUGAUAAGCCUCAAGGCAAACAAUUCUUCCUUCACAAUUGCAGUCUGGGCACCUGAUGACAUAGAAUGACUCAUUGGACUCCUGCCUCUUCUACUUCAUUCUUACCGUGAGCUCCCCUAGAAGAUGUAGUAUUCCGCCAUUACCAAAAUCUGCAACCAGAAGGAUCAAGCUCUAGGAAGCAGCACACACUAUACUCCUGUGUGGAAACAAAGUAAUCCUCAUCAGAUCAUCUAACUUGCUGUUGCUGUAAGGACUGCGAAUUGGUAGCAAUAAAUAAGGCAUGGGAAAUAGGAGGGAAAACACCAUCAAUGACAAUAAAAACUGAAUGUGAAAUUUGA